CGUCGUUAUCUUGGCCUGAGCCGUGUGGGAAGUAUUUGCAAACCCCAACCACAGAUGCAAUUAGGAGUCACUUCUGAUGCUGCGUGCAGAACUCCCUGUAGAAGGGGAUGUGAAGAACACAAUAUGUUUUACGGGGUGCUGUUGAGGCUGUCUGCAGGAGGACCCACUGUUAAGCGCUUGGAGUUUUCUUGCCAAAGGCAUUAACUGUGUGCAGUGACCUUGAUCUAUCAGCUUCUUACACGUGAAGCACCAAAGAACAGAUUGUUGACGUUUCUCCUAAAAAAUUUAUCCCCCAUGUAGCAGUGGUACUGGAUCAUUUAAUGGGAUUAUGACACUCCUGAAAAAGUGGCAAAAUGGAAUUAAAUAAAUUUUCAAGAACUUUGCACGUGGCAUUGUGAAUCCUGUAAAAUCUUACUGAAGCAAUUCCAGCAAUUCCAGGCUCUGCUUUUGGCAGGAUAAAAGAGAUGAGUUUUUUUCUACUGGUCAAACCACAACACCGGUAUUGAAAGGCUACUGGAAAAUGUCCAGAGGUGGAACAAAACAUUGGUGGAGAGUCUUGAGAAGAUGUUGUAUGAGGAGCUGCUGAAGUCACUUUGUCUAUUCAGCCUGGAGGAAACUGAGGGGUAACCUCAUAGAAGCUUACUGCCUCCUCACAAGGGAAGGAGGAGGAGCAGAUGCUGAUCUUUUCUCUCUGGUGACCAAUGAUAGGACCUAAGGAAGUGGCAGGAAGGUGUUCCAGGGGAGGUUUAGGUAGGAUAUUAGGAAAAGGAACUUCACUCAGAGGAUGGUGAAGAACUGUAACAGGCUCCCCAGGGAAGCAGUCAUAGAAUCAUAGAAUCUCUAGGUUGGAAAAGACCUUUGAGAUCACCAAGUCCAACCGUAAGUCAUGGUGCCAAGCCUAAUAAUAUUCAAGAAGCAUUUGGACAAUGCAGUCAGACACAUGGUAUAAACUGGGGUUGUCCUAUGCAGAGUCAGAAGCUGGUCUCAAUGGUCCUUGUGGGUUGCUUCCAACUCAGUUCAUUCUGUGAUUCUGUGAUUUGUAGAAGUUCCCUAUUUAUCUCAGUUGACUUUUUCUUAGAAGUAAGUUGGUUUGUAAUUUUUAUUUGUUGGAAAGAUGAUAGUUUCUACUGUAGUGAUAGUUGUUAGUGACUGAUCACUUAGGCCUAUAGUUGUAACUUUUUUGACUGUGACUUAUGACAGUAAUAAAAAUAUGUUUUUUUAAAAAGAAUUUUUAUUAAUGCAUUUGUAGAACAUACAGGAUUAUGCAUUUUCACAUCUUUAUGAAACUGAGUGAUAACAACAACUAUCUUCAGAAACAACUGUCAUCCAAUUGUGUGAUCAGAAGGUUGAAGUACUACAGUAUUUUUGUCUACAGUUUUGCACGUGCGAAUUUCCUUGUUGUGAAUAUGACCCAAAGCAUUUAUCCUGGCACUGAAAAACUCCAGGGUUCAUACCCUUUAGUGAAUAAUAAAAGUAAGCUGUCUACAGGUAUGUCAUUUCUUUAUAUAGAUUAGUAAAACCUGACAACUCAGUUGGAUAAAAGUAGCUUUAGGGGCUCAAAAAGAGUUAGUGUCUAAGCUACAAAAAAAAAAAAAAAAUCUGAAUUUAAUUUGAUUAACUAGGAGGUAGGGAGGUUAUUUGUUUCUUUGGUUUUUUAUCCUCUUCAUUUACUGUGGCACUGAUAUGAUUAUUUAUAUGGUGCCAUUUGCAUGCCAGGCAUUUUAUAGGCCGACAGUAAGACAACAGUCCUGCCUCUAGCAAGCUUGCAACUCAAUAUUCCCUCAAAGUUUCAAUAAAGUUCAAUGUAUGGCAUAAUUCUAUGCAUUCUUAAGGUGAAUGUAAACUGCCACUACAUUAUAUGUAUAUUAAUUAAAGUUCAAAUAUUCUCUUAGAUUUUUGCUCCAGGCUGAGAAUAGCAAGUCAAUAUUUCGUUAUCUCUGGAGUACAGCCUCAGAAGCAGUGCAGUCCUGAUUUUAAUAUA